AUUGAACGCUGGCGGCAUGCUUUACACAUGCAAGUCGGACGAGUGGCGAACGGGUGAGUAACGCAUCGGAACGUACAGAGUAAUGGGGGAUAACUGUCCGAAAGGACAGCUAAUACCGCAUAUUAUUCGAGCGGCCGAUGUCUGAUUAGCUGGUUGGCGGGGUAAAGGCCCCCCAAGGCGACGUUCAGUAGCGUGUCUGAGAGGAUGAUCCGUCACACUGGGACUUAGACACUGCCCUGACUCCUACGGGUGGCAUCUGUGUAGAAUUUUGGACAAUGGGUGCAAGCCUAAUCCAGCCAUGCCGCGUGUCUUAAGAAGGCCUUCGUGUUGUAAAGGACUUUUGUCAGGGAAGCGGUACCUGAAUAAUAAGCACCGGCUAACUUCGUGCCAGCAGCCGCGGUAAUUC
rnacentral:rRNA from 1 species